rnacentral:rRNA from 1 species
CUAAGCGUACACGGUGGAUGCCCUGGCAGUCAGAGGCGAUGAAGGACGUGCUAAUCUGCGAAAAGCGUCGGUAAGGUGAUAUGAACCGUUAUAACCGGCGAUGUCCGAAUGGGGAAACCCAGUGUGAUUCGUCACACUAUCGUUAACUGAAUACAUAGGUUAACGAGGCGAACCGGGGGAACUGAAACAUCUAAGUACCCCGAGGAAAAGAAAUCAACCGAGAUUCCCCCAGUAGCGGCGAGCGAACGGGGAGCAGCC